UACGUAGGGUGCAAGCGUUUGUCCGGAAUUAUUGGGCGUAAAGAGCUCGUAGGCGGCUCGUCGCGUCUGCUGUGAAAGCCCGGGGCUUAACCCCGGGUCUGCAGUGGGUACGGGCGGGCUAGAGUGCGGUAGGGGAGACUGGAAUUCCUGGUGUAGCGGUGAAAUGCGCAGAUAUCAGGAGGAACACCGGUGGCGAAGGCGGGUCUCUGGGCCGUAACUGACGCUGAGGAGCGAAAGCAUGGGUAGCGAACAGG
rnacentral:rRNA from 1 species